rnacentral:rRNA from 2 species
AAAUUGAAGAGUUUGAUCAUGGCUCAGAUUGAACGCUGGCGGCAGGCCUAACACAUGCAAGUCGAGCGGUAGCACAGAGAGCUUGCUCUCGGGUGACGAGCGGCGGACGGGUGAGUAAUGUCUGGGAAACUGCCUGAUGGAGGGGGAUAACUACUGGAAACGGUAGCUAAUACCGCAUAAUGUCGUAAGACCAAAGUGGGGGACCUUCGGGCCUCAUGCCAUCAGAUGUGCCCAGAUGGGAUUAGCUAGUAGGUGGGGUAACGGCUCACCUAGGCGACGAUCCCUAGCUGGUCUGAGAGGAUGACCAGCCACACUGGAACUGAGACACGGUCCAGACUCCUACGGGAGGCAGCAGUGGGGAAUAUUGCACAAUGGGCGCAAGCCUGAUGCAGCCAUGCCGCGUGUGUGAAGAAGGCCUUCGGGUUGUAAAGCACUUUCAGCGGGGAGGAAGGCGAUAAGGUUAAUAACCUUGUCGAUUGACGUUACCCGCAGAAGAAGCACCGGCUAACUCCGUGCCAGCAGCCGCGGUAAUACGGAGGGUGCAAGCGUUAAUCGGAAUUACUGGGCGUAAAGCGCACGCAGGCGGUCUGUCAAGUCGGAUGUGAAAUCCCCGGGCUCAACCUGGGAACUGCAUUCGAAACUGGCAGGCUAGAGUCUUGUAGAGGGGGGUAGAAUUCCAGGUGUAGCGGUGAAAUGCGUAGAGAUCUGGAGGAAUACCGGUGGCGAAGGCGGCCCCCUGGACAAAGACUGACGCUCAGGUGCGAAAGCGUGGGGAGCAAACAGGAUUAGAUACCCUGGUAGUCCACGCCGUAAACGAUGUCGAUUUGGAGGUUGUGCCCUUGAGGCGUGGCUUCCGGAGCUAACGCGUUAAAUCGACCGCCUGGGGAGUACGGCCGCAAGGUUAAAACUCAAAUGAAUUGACGGGGGCCCGCACAAGCGGUGGAGCAUGUGGUUUAAUUCGAUGCAACGCGAAGAACCUUACCUGGUCUUGACAUCCACAGAACUUUCCAGAGAUGGAUUGGUGCCUUCGGGAACUGUGAGACAGGUGCUGCAUGGCUGUCGUCAGCUCGUGUUGUGAAAUGUUGGGUUAAGUCCCGCAACGAGCGCAACCCUUAUCCUUUGUUGCCAGCGGUCCGGCCGGGAACUCAAAGGAGACUGCCAGUGAUAAACUGGAGGAAGGUGGGGAUGACGUCAAGUCAUCAUGGCCCUUACGACCAGGGCUACACACGUGCUACAAUGGCAUAUACAAAGAGAAGCGACCUCGCGAGAGCAAGCGGACCUCAUAAAGUAUGUCGUAGUCCGGAUUGGAGUCUGCAACUCGACUCCAUGAAGUCGGAAUCGCUAGUAAUCGUAGAUCAGAAUGCUACGGUGAAUACGUUCCCGGGCCUUGUACACACCGCCCGUCACACCAUGGGAGUGGGUUGCAAAAGAAGUAGGUAGCUUAACCUUCGGGAGGGCGCUUACCACUUUGUGAUUCAUGACUGGGGUGAAGUCGUAACAAGGUAACCGUAGGGGAACCUGCGGUUGGAUCACCUCCUUACCUUAAAGAA